rnacentral:snRNA from 1 species
GGACUGAGGGUGAUCUGGCUGGGACCUCCGUCACCCCACUGAUCACCGGGGCUGAUUCAGCUGAUCUGGCUAUGUAGACGGGUGCCCGCUUCCUCCCUCACCGUUCCAUGUGUGUCCCUCCAGAAGCUGCAUGCUCCAUCAAAGAGGAUGACCUUCCCCAAUAAAAGAGGACGCUCUUGGGGCCAAGGGUAUACAAACAGCUAUACUUUUCUGCUAGAACCUCCAAACAAGUUCUCAAGGUGCAAUUUAUAGGAGUAUCAGGGCAGUCAAGCUUCCAGGACUCAUAUCUUCUUGGGA